rnacentral:rRNA from 1 species
AACGAACGCUGGCGGCGUGCCUAACACAUGCAAGUCGUGCGAGAAAGUUCCUUCGGGAGCGAGUAAAGCGGCGCACGGGUGAGUAACACGUAGGUAACCUGCCCUCCAGUCUGGAACAACUAGAGGAAACUCUAGCUAAUGCCGGAUGAGACCACGAUCCCUUCGGGGGUUGCGGCCAAAGAUGGCCUCUACUUGUAAGCUAUCGCUGAGGGAUGGGCCUGCGGGCCAUUAGCUUGUUGGUGAGGUAACGGCGUCACCCAAGGCUGUGAUGGCUAGCUGGUCUGAGAGGAUGACCAGCCACACUGGGACUGAGACACGGCCCAGACUCCUACGGGAGGCAGCAGUGGGGAAUAUUGCGCAAUGGGCGAAAGCCUGACGCAGCGACG